rnacentral:ncRNA from 1 species
ACAGGGGUGCCUUAAAUGGCUGAGAUAGACCCUUAGACCUGAUCUAGUUAGUACUAGCGUAGGAAGAUCUA